GAUGAACGCUGGCGGCGUGCCUAAUACAUGCAAGUCGAGCGAACGGACGAGAAGCUUGCUUCUCUGAUGUUAGCGGCGGACGGGUUAGUAACACGUGGAUAACCUACCUAUAAGACUGGGAUAACUUCGGGAAACCGGAGCUAAUACCGGAUAAUAUUUUGAACCGCAUGGUUCAAAAGUGAAAGACGGUCUUGCUGUCACUUAUAGAUGGAUCCGCGCUGCAUUAGCUAGUUGGUAAGGUAACGGCUUACCAAGGCAACGAUGCAUAGCCGACCUGAGAGGGUGAUAGGCCACACUGGAACUGAGACACGGUCCAGACUCCUACGAGAGGCAGCAGUAGGGAAUCUUACGCAAUGGGCGAAAGCCUGACGGAGCAACGCCGCGUGAGUGAUGAAGGUCUUCGGAUCGUAAAACUCUGUUAUUAGGGAAGAACAUAUGUGUAAGUAACUGUGCACAGCUUGACGGUACCUAAUCAGAAAGCCACGGCUAACUACGUG
rnacentral:rRNA from 1 species